AGUCCAGUGAAGUUAAUCAUCAGGAGAGAGGCUUGUUACUGACGCCUGAUAGUCCAGGGAAGUUGGGGCCCAGUGCAGAGAGGAAUAAAAGAUGGGAUGAAAAUGGGGCAUACGAGCAGUGGUGAAUAUGGAUAUGCGUUGCAUCUGUUUCUACAGUGCAGUGAGUGGGAGGUAUAUCCUAGUACAUAGGCCACAACCUGAGCAGUGCAGUGAGUGGGAGGUAUAUCCUAGUACAUAGGCCACAACCUGAGCAGUGCAGUGAGUGGGAGGUAUAUCCUAGUACAUAGGCCACAACCUGAGCAGUGCAGUGAGUGGGAGGUAUAUCCUAGUACAUAGGCCACAACCUGAGCAGUGCAGUGAGUGGGAGGUAUAUCCUAGUACAUAGGCCACAACCUGAGCAGUGCAGUGAGUGGGAGGUAUAUCCUAGUACAUAGGCCACAACCUGAGCAGUGCAGUGAGUGGGAGGUAUAUCCUAGUACAUAGGCCACAACCUGAGCAGUGCAGUGAGUGGGAGGUAUAUCCUAGUACAUAGGCCACAACCUGAGCAGUGCAGUGAGUGGGAGGUAUAUCCUAGUACAUAGGCCACAACCUGAGCAGUGCAGUGAGUGGGAGGUAUAUCCUAGUACAUAGGCCACAACCUGAGCAGUGCAGUGAGUGGGAGGU